UUGCUGAAAACAGCUAGAAAGGCAGUUGCUGAAUCCUUAGCACAACUAACAGACCAGGAUGGGUGGGGGAAGUGAGUGAUGAGGAGUAAACAUGACCCAGUGUCCUCCUGACUUGAGUUUUUGCUGAAGCAUGCAGUUGUGCAAAAUGAAAAAUCUGGCAAUAGUUAACUAUUGCUAUGUGAAAUACAGCUGGUUAACUGAUGGAAAAUUCCCUGCCCAACAGGCUGGAAAACUCCACACUUAACAAGCUAUGUAAUACUAACAAAUUGGGUAUAAAAAGAGGAAGAGAUCUGAGCUCAAUGGACAUUUGAAUACUUGGGAUAUUUUGGGACACCUCUCAAGUUCCCCUGCAGAUGGAAAGCUGGCCACUGGAAGUCUACAGAUAUCCAUUCAAGAUCUUGGCAGUGUCUGUGGGUCCACGCCUGUGCCCUAGAUACCCCAAUGAAGGUAAUUAGGGAGUGGAUGGGCUCACCACCACUACAGUUCCUUCUCAACCAUGAAAGUCCAGAGAAAGACUCUGAGGCAGUGGGAAAGGACAGUGCACCCACAGGGAUACAUCUAGAAGAAUUCCAGUUAAUGUACAAGAGUAACAGAGGUAGAUUGAGCUCCAGUGGAUGAACGGUCACUCUGGAGGGAAGAGAGUGAACGCCUGAGGCUUCUUAACGGAUUAAGGUGUAUUCUGCAACCCAUUUGUACUGCCUUUGGCUGGAAAUCAGAUGUCCUUUCUUUUGUUCUGCAACUGAGAUGAAAAGCCUACAUCAAGUCCUACCUGUUGAGGUAAAAGCAGGUAAAUUGAGAAUGUGUAUCAGAUAAGACUCUAGAGGAGAUGUAGAUGGGUGGCUGCACCAAAUAUGGAAGUAUUUCCACUUCUGCAGGUAAGUUUUUUCUUGUUGUGGGUUUUCUACUUUUAAGCACCGCUGGGGACAGACCUGUUCUAUAUCAGAAAGCCAUUCAGUAGCCAUGCCUUGAAGUGAAAUGUCAGGAGAUUGGGCUGGGUGAUGGAUCACAACUCCUGGUGAGGAUAUUUGCUCAGGGGAAGGUGGAGAGGUAGUUGCAGAGACACGCAAACCACCUCUGGGAACUACACUUGGCUACUAUUUUUUUUCUUGUUUUUCUUGAGGACUGAAGGUUUCAUGAAAGCCUUUAUAUAGCAGUACACAAGGCCAAAGAAUGACUGGGGCAUCUCCUAUUGAGUUGUGGCCGCAUCCUCCCCUCGAGCAGAAACGUAUUGGAUGGAGUUGCAAAGAGAUCUAUCUAUGGAUGAUCCCAGGUAAGACAUACCUCUUAGAAUACCUUGUUGUACAGCUCCCACUUGUGGCUGAUGUGGAAAUGCCUGCUGAAGUAGUCUUCCACUGUGUUCUGUAGUCCUGGCAGACAAACCAUUGAUAUCUGUAUGCUGUGCGAUAUGCACCAACUCCAUAGUUUUAUGGAUUUGGCACAUAAGGACUUGGAUCUUGCUCCUCCUUGUCGAUUCAUAAUACUUUGCUGCUUGGUUGUCUAGUAUCAUUCUGACUGAGUGAUCCCUGAUGUAGGGUAGCAAGUGCUGGCAAGCAUAACAAACUGCUUCAAGCUCUAACAUGUUGAUAUGGUGGAUUGACUCCUGAGAAGUCCAUUUGCUGUGAACUGUGAAGUUUCGGACAUGUGCACCCCAUCAGAUCAGGGAGGCAUCUGUAGCAAUGAUCCUUGUCAGAGGAGGCUUCACGAACAAAACUUCCAUGCAAACAUUUUGUGGCGCCUCCACCAAUUUAAAGAAUCAAGAACCCUCCAACGUACAGACACCUGCUUGGAUAGAUUGUGCUUGUUGAGGGUACAGAUAGUUCUCAGCCAGGCUUGAGGACACCGAGACUGUAAUCUUCCUAAGGAAGGCAAGUGCUUGCUGUGGUUUGUGGGUUCUGUUGCAUUGUUGAAAUGAGGCUGGACAUUGUGGCAAAUCUGUCCGUGGGCAAGUAUACUCUGGUGGUGAUGGGGUCCAGAGUGGCCACAAUGAAGUCUAUUAGUUGAGGGGUGUGAAAGGAGACUUUUCAGCAUUGACGAGGAGGCCCAGAGAGUGAAACAGAAAUAGGUCCAUGCUGGUUGCUGCCCAUACCUUGAGAAGUGAGUGACCUUUCAGGAGCCAAUCAUUCAGCUAGUGAAAGACAAUAAUUUAUAUCUGGUGAAAAUGGGCCAUGGUGGCUGAGAGCACUCUGGUACAGACCCUUGGGGCAAUGCAGCAGCUGAAGGGUAGGAUGUGAUAUGGGUAGUGGUAUCUGCCUACCACAAAACAAAGGAAACUUCCGUGAGAAGGUUGCAUAGUGAUAUGAUAAGCAUUGGGACAGUUGAGGGAGACAAACCAAUCUCCUGGGUCCAGAGAAGCACCUCCUGCCUCAAGAGACUCUUGCGAGAAGGAUGCCUGAAGAGGGAAAGGGUGGGGCCACAGAAAGAAGCUGAAUUGGAUGGAGUAACCUGUGGAAUUAUCUCCAGGAUCCACCUGUCUCAGGUGGAGAGCUCCCAGGAAGGUAGAAUAUGGGAGAGGUGAUCCCCAUAAGGGUGGAUGGGGGAUAGUGCAGCAUAGAAACUGGAGCUGGAGAGAGUUUGGGACCCUCAACCAAUGGGACAAAAUGGUUGUUUUGAGGCAGUCACUGACUCAGUGGUCACGCCAGAGGAUGGAUGGCCCUUUCUUAGUGAACCUGGGUUUCUUCCUAGCCAGUUUAGCCACCUUAUGGGCUGACAGUGGACCGGGCGAGACUGCUGAGUCAUCUGCAAUCUACUGUAUUUUCUCUGUUGCAAAGUGUAUAGAUGCCCAGAGAUCAUAGUGUCACCCAAGAGUCAGAGAAUGAAGGGAUCCAUCUGUGGCAUCACUAAACAAUCUGGGCCCUUUGAAGGGAAGGUUCUGAAUGGUAUUUUGUACUUCUCAAGGGAGGCCAGAGGACUGCAACCAAAAAGCUUGGGGCAUGACUAUUACUGUAGCCAUGGAACAUGCAGCAGUAUCAGCAGCAUCGAGUGAAGCCUGGAGAAACACCUUGGCAAUUGUCUAGCCUUCUGUUCUGAGGGUUUUAAAUUGUUCCCUCUAAUACUGAGGGAGGUGUUCAAUAAAAAUUAAAAAUUUUGAAUAGUUUGUAAAAUCGUAUUUUGCUAUCAGGGCUUGUUAAUUGGCUACUCUGAAUUGCAAAGAGACCGAGGAAUAGUUUUUGAGGCCCAGAAGGUUCAGUUGUUUUAGCCCAUUGCUUGUUUGUUUAGUUAAUGGCCUCGACAACCAGGAAGUUGGGUGUAGGGUGGGAGAAAAUAAUACUCCAAGCCGUUGGGUGGAAUGUAAUAUUGUUUUGUCAGCCUGUUUACAGGCAGGCGGUAUAGCAGCUGGAGUUUGCCACACCAUAUGUGCUGGGGCCAGGAGAGCAUCAUUGAUGGGCAAGGUGAUUUUACCUUGAGGAGAUGUAUGAAGGAUGUACAACAGGGAAUGUUGGGUUUCCUGUAUACCCUCCAACGGAAUAUGUAGGGCCACUAGUAUUCAUUUCAUAAAGUUUUGAAAGGCCAUGGCAUCAUCAACAUAAGAUGGUGGGGGAGGCAUGCCAGUCUCACGUGGUGAGGAGGAUCAUCUGUGGGAAGGUGGUGUUUCUUCUCUCUCAUCUGGGUCUUGCUCCGCUGUAAGAUCCUCCUGGGGAGCAGAACCCAAGCGUGGCGGCUGUUGCUCCUGACAUGUCCUCUUAUGAGAUGGGACCUUGUAAAACUGUUUGUCAUAAGGGACUGCAAUAAACCCACUGUGGUGGGGCAUGAAGAAUGAGGGCAGGGCCCCAAAGUUGUUCUUGCCAAGGUUGCUGGGUGAAUCUCCUGCUGGGAGUUUCCUCCACAGGGAAGCUAUAAUGUGGAGGAAUCUUGUAUAGACCUCAGAAUUGGAUGAGAGGUCAUCACUAUAUCUAUCAAAGGUUCAAGUGGUGCUGGUACCAGUGGUCAAGUCAGUACAGCGGUCCAAUGAAGGUCCUGUCAUUGUACUGGUAAUGGAGGUCAAUGGUUGGUUGGCUAGUGAGACUUUACCAGAGGAUGUUGUGUCAGUACCAGCUGGAAAUACCUCUCUGUACCUUACAGAACUUUGCAUGGGACUGGUGAUCAUGUUGGUACCAGAGGAUGAGUACCGUUGAAGAUGGUAGUAUUGGAGGGUAAGUAGCUCUGGGAGGCUAGUUAAUACUUAUGGAGAGUCUCUUGGUACCCCUCAGUAAUGGUGAUUCAGGCUCUGGAUAAUGGUGACUCUGGUAAUGGUAAUGGUGACUUUGGAUAGGGACCGCAUCGGAGUCAGUAUGUCAGGGCUACCAAAGUGCAAUUGGUGUGCCCUUCAGGCUUGGCUACAGAAGACAGUAUCAGUGACUACUUCAGCUGGGCUUUGGAGUCCUUGAGUUUCAAAGACCACUCUAGGUUGUUGGUUCUUCUUGGUGCAUGGUGUGGUGGUCUUAGCCGGUGCCAUGGUCCAAAGGUAAUGGGAGCCCAUAUCGGGACAUGAAGUCUCCUGAGACCCGCUGAAGGGGUGACUUUCCCCUUCUCUUGUCCCAGGAGAAUGGGGUCUUUUCUUCUUUGAAGGUCUGGGUGGUUCUGUUUGUUUACUGUUGUGGCAGAGAUGGUUGCUGAGACUCUCUGAGCAACCAGAUCCAAGCAACAAGGAGUGUGAAUCAGACCCCCAGGCCUCAGAGAGCACUCCAUCAACAAGAGUUUUAGUCUGUCCUCCCUUAAUUUCUUAGGUCUGCUUUUAAAACCUGGAGAGGACAUGAGUCUCUCGGAGGCAGCUUGAAUGUCUGUUGCUGCAGGGGAAAACCUACGGCAGGUCUGGCAGGGUUUGAAGCCUGCGGUUUUGGGCAUAACUGGUGCUUGAGGCUGUGGCUCAAGGCCUGAGAAAAAAAAACAAAGGCCCAGUAAAUGAGGAAGGGAAGGGAAGACCUCCCCCACCCCCAGCACAAAUUGUGCUAAAUAACAAAAAAUAAAGAAACUACAAAAGAAAAUAAAAAAAUAGAUUGAGAUAACUAGCUAUACAGCAUGCUACCUAACGUACACUGUGACACUCUGUCUCAAGUUGCAGGUGGCUGAGACGGAAACUGGAGUGGCAGUGUGUCUGCCCCCUCCCUUCAUUCACUUGUAGCAGAGCACAAGGGUGUCUAGGGCGCAGGCAUGGACCUGCAGACACUGCCCACAAAAAUCUCUGAGAAAGCGCACAGGGGUAUGCAGACGUCCUGAUAUGGAGCACUCAUAGCGAUA